UAACUCGAACGCGCAACACUCCGAUCGAUAACGUAACGAGCAAAGGAUAAGCUAACGCAAGAUCAUAUAUAUAAAGAGUGUCAAAAACGGGAAUAUCAAGACUCAAAAUCCGGCUGCGAAGAUAACCGGUCCGAGCAUAAUAAUAUAUACAUAUAAUAAAAUAAGGAAACCCCAAAGGAAACCCAAAGGGACACAAAUACAUACAACCUAUUCUCCAAAAUCCCCUCUAGAAGGAGUCAUCACAGU
rnacentral:lncRNA from 1 species